UGUCUGUCUCACCCUCUCUCUCUCUACAAUUCUAUAAUUGUAUUUUUCCUUCUUUAAUAUUUUACACCACAAUAAAAUCCUGCCUCGUCUUAAAUAUUUUAACUCCCGAUCACCGCUACUCUUUCCGAUUGAUCUGAGCCUCAUAACAUAUGUCAGGGAUUUGCCCGACUAAGUUGUUAGGAUUCGAUCUCGGGACAUCAGGACAACGUUGAUUUAGGGGUACUAUACUUACCACGAGUGCAUUAUAUAUAUAUUUUUAAAUAACUCAGAAGUUAUACCCAAAAUUUAUACCAGGAGAUUUUCUAGUUGAACCCUAAAGUUACAAAGUGGGUCCAUUCUCUUUUCUCACCGUUUUAAUUCCUUUUUGUGAUUUACCCAAAACUAUUAUUUAUUAUUCUAUUUUGUAAACAACUCUCAUCAAAAGUCAUAUCUAUUAUUUUAUUUACCUAAUAGGAAACCCUAGUUGAGACACCCAAAUAAUUCUGCGCAAACCCUAAAAUUUUCAGAACAAUCAAAAUCGGGAUCAGGACCCCUAAAACUCAAGGGGGGCAUUUCCCAUUCGAUAUUAUCUUCACAGUUUUACGUGUAAUUCGAAUUUAAUCGAUCUGUCGACUCACCUAGGCUAUAAAUGAACGUGGCAACCCUACAAAGAAAUGUAACCCGUCGCGCCACGCGAUGGCACCCAGGUGACCCCUCGCGACACGCGAGAGGGACAAAUUUUAAGUAUAAAUAGAGGAGAGUGGCACUUGAAUUCUGGCUUCGGUUCGACGAUAAAAUUCGUUAUAUACACUGAGUUAUAGCCGUUUUACUGCCAAACACACACAAUCACGAAAUGCUGCUACGAUACAGGGUAUUAACUCGAUCGCUGCUACGAUUCAAUAUCCGAUCGACUGAAACUAUCCGACAGGAUGUUUAAGUGUUAUCCUUUGUCAUUAGUCGUGAUUCCGACAGGAUGUUUGAGUGCCGCCCAAACUCGGGGUAGACUCUGUCAUUCGUUGUGAAUCCGCUGGAUGUUUAAGUGAUUACACUUUGUCAUUUGUUGUGAGGGUUUUAAUCUCGUGAGUUAUCGUAAAAGUUGUAUUAGUUACUUACCUAGUUCGUGUGCACUAGGUUACAAGGCUAAUCAAUAGGCUAAGCUCUUCCUGUAUAAAUCUGCAAUAUAUCAAGGCUUAUCUGUAGACUAAACUUUGCCCGUAUGAAUCUGCAUGCUUAUAAUGUGAGUCAUUCUCUUUUUAUCAACUGUUUUACAAAACUCCAAAUUAUUUUCAAAGUUAUAAUUACAGGGAUUAAGUCUUUGUAAUCACCAAUUUACAGCCGGUAUGUGGGGUUUUGUAUACAUUACUUAUUUCCCGUCACCAUUGGACAACGAGUUAGCCAAGGAGUGAUCUGACCACACUCACAGACACCAUUUGGACAACGAGAUAGCAAAUGGGUAGUCGAGUGACAAAUACUGUGGGUGAUUACAGUAGAUUGGAGUAAGAAUUGGAUCCGACAAUGAAGGACUUCAAGAAGUGGCUUAUUUUAUUAAUUAAAUCAAAUUAAGAAAUAUUGUUUUAUAUAAUCAAAUUUAUUUAUAUUAAAAGCUACCAUUGCAAAACAUAGGUUUUAUCCCAUUUAUUUAAUAAAUAAAAUCCGGUGU
rnacentral:lncRNA from 1 species